rnacentral:tRNA from 1 species
GGAGGGGUGGCCGAGAGGCUGAAGGCACCGGUUUGCUAAACCGGCAUAGGGUGUAAACUCUAUCGCGGGUUCGAAUCCCGCCCUCUCCG